rnacentral:rRNA from 1 species
UACGAAGGGUGCAAGCGUUACUCGGAAUUACUGGGCGUAAAGCGUGCGUAGGUGGUUCGUUAAGUCUGAUGUGAAAGCCCUGGGCUCAACCUGGGAAUGGCAUUGGAUACUGGCGACCUAGAGUGCGGUAGAGGGGUGUGGAAUUCCCGGUGUAGCAGUGAAAUGCGUAGAUAACGGGAGGAACAUCUGUGGCGAAGGCGACACCCUGGACCAGCACUGACACUGAGGCACGAAAGCGUGGGGAGCAAACAGG